GUGCUUCGGCAGCCCAUAUACUAAAAUUGGAAUGAUACAGAGAAGAUUAGUAUGCCCCCUGCACAAGGAGAAACCAUGGUCUUCCCAGAUUUGGGUCAGGUCCAC